rnacentral:rRNA from 1 species
AUGGUGAUCAAUUUCAUUUGCUGGCCAAGUACCAAACUGGCAUGGAUCUUGGCGCUGCUGCUCAACCUGGUCAUGAUGAUUCAAGUCCACGGCCAGCCUCCUUCUUCUGGGUUCAUAAGCAUCGACUGUGGAUUGAGAAACAGAAGUUCCUACAACGACAGCUCCACCGGGCUACGAUUCAAUCCUGACAGUGGAUUUGUCGAGGGUGGCAUGAGAAAACAGAUUUCUCAAGAGUUUAUGGCUGAUGCCGAAAAUGAGCAACAAAAAACCCUGAGGAGCUUUCCUGACGGCUCAAGGAAUUGCUAUACGCUGCCAUCCACAAUGGGUAAGAAGUAUCUAUGGAGAGCCACAUUUACUUAUGGCAACUAUGAUGGGUUGAACAAGACUCUGGAUGGGUCACUCUUUCUGUUUGGGCUCCAUCUCGGCGUUAAUUUCUGGGAUAUGGUGAACUUGACAAACUUCAACCCAAUGGCUGCGGGAUGGAGUGAAGUGCUCACCGUUGCUCCGAGCAACUCCAUGUCUGUCUGCUUGGUAAACUUCGGUUCAGGGAUUCCCUUCAUAUCCUCGUUGGAGCUAAGGCCACUCGAAGAUACGAUGUACCCUUUUGUCAAUACUUCUGUUUCAAUCAACCUUAUUGAUCGAGUCAGAUAUGGCAACAUCACCGACUUAAUCACAAGGUAUCCAACGGACAACUAUGACCGCAUUUGGUACAAUCACACCACAGACUACCCCUGGAUGAACCUCAAUACUACCAAUAAAGUGGAGACCCUCCCUGGCAAUAACUUCUUCAACAUACCGUCGGUCAUCAUGCAGAAUGCCUUGACUUUAGACAUGAACUACUCCGGGAUGAUUAUCUCCUCAACACCACAUCCCAAUGUAGACACUAAGAGCCGGCAGAUUCUCCCAAUCUUUCACUUUGCCGAGAUCAAUGGGAGUAACCCGAACAGGAGGUUCGACAUCUACAGCGCCGGCGAAUUGCUGUUCUCAGACUUCUCCCCUUCACGAUUCCAGGUGGACAGCAUGCACCAAAACGGACGGUUCUUGCGCAACCCAAAUGCAACCUUUCUCCUGAACAACACGGGCAGCUCGACACUCCCGCCGUUGAUCAACGCGUACGAGCUAUACUUCCUCGUUCGGAUGGAUAACCUCACUACUGACUCAAAAGAUGUCAAUUACAUGAAAGAAGUCAAGAACCACUACAAUUUGACACGGGUAAACUGGAAUGGAGAUCCAUGCUCCCCAAGAGAAUAUUCCUGGGAAGGUUUGACUUGCGACUACUCAGAGAGCAACCAGAAUCCAAGGAUUGUUUCAAUAAAUCUCUCUGCGAGUGGAUUGAAAGGUGAAUUAGCCGUAUCAUUGAUGAACAUGGUAUCACUAGAAUACAUGGAUUUAUCACACAACAAUUUGACGGGAGCUAUUCCAGACUAUCAACUAAAGUCACUCAAAAUUCUCAACUUGUCAAACAACCAGCUCGUUGGGCCAAUCCCUGAUUCUAUUCUUCGAAGAUUUCAGGCUGGUUUGCUUGAAUUAAGAUUGGAAGGCAACCCCAUAUGCUCAAAAGUCAAAGAUACAUACUGCUCAAAUAAGAAGAAGAACGCCAUACAAACAAUGGUUAUUGUAGUGACGGUUCCUGUGGUACUGGUAUCCCUCCUAGUAUUGAUGUGCAUAAUCUGGAAUUUAUGCUGGAAAGGGAAGUCAGACCAUGAGGAUUAUGCCAUGUAUGAACAGGAAACUUCCCUACAUGUUGACAUCAGACGAUUCACAUAUGUAGAGCUCAAGCUCAUAACAAAUGACUUCCAAUCAAUCAUUGGAAAAGGAGGUUUUGGUAUUGUUUAUCAUGGCAAACUGGAAAAUGGUGAUGAAGUAGCCGUUAAGGUGUUGAUGGAAACAUCAAUAGAGGACUCAACAGACUUCCUCCCUGAGGUACAAACCUUGUCCAAAGUUCAUCACAAGAAUCUUGUGACUUUGAAAGGAUAUUGCCAAAACAAGAAGUGCCUCGCUCUCAUUUAUGACUUCAUGUCAAGAGGGAAUCUUCAACAGCUCAUAAGAGGAUGUUUGUUUAUUAAUUUAUACCUUUUAUUAAUGUUUAUAUCAAACAUUGUUGACUUGUUAGGUUGUAUUUAA